rnacentral:misc_RNA from 1 species
AAGUCGUAACAAGGUUUCCGUAGGUGAACCUGCGGAAGGAUCAUUAACACAAAAAGUGUGCUGUGUUUCAUUAUACACACAUUUUUUCACCCCCCUCUUGCAAACCUGUUUUUUUAUUACUGUUCUUCCCAUGAUGUAAACGAAAAAUACAGACAGUAGUUUCUUUGCUUUCGUAGCGAAAAACAAUGGUUUGUAUGUAUGUUUACGUUAUGUGGUUUUACUUAUUUUACCCCUUGAACUUUUUAUUAGACUGAUGACAAACCUUAAAACAGUUUGUUGAUAUAUCUAAACGCUGAACAACUCUUAGCAACGGAUAUCUUGGCUCUC